UUCCCUUCUCCUUCUUCUCCCUUCUCUCGCUGCUCCUUCCUCUACUGUGCGCUGCUUCUUCUUCCUUGACCAGCAGCAGCGGCCGUUCCCUCUUGCAACCGGUGCAGCCGCCUCAUCUCCCUCGCAAGCAACAGCAGCAAGGGCUGCGUUUCUUCUCGCAAAUAGUAGCCCCAGCAGCAGCCCUAAUGCCGCCAGCCACGCCUCCGCCGUAGCCGCCAAUAGGCUGCGUUCUUCCCCACCAACAACAGCUGAGCCUUAAACAACCGUGUAGCAUUUUGUGCCGCCAGCAACUGGCUGCUGGGUAGCCGAUUUUGGCCCUGCGCCACCACCUCCGCAACCUCCUCUCACUUCUCCAUCCUCUUGCUAGUUUUAUUUUGUACUCAGUAUAUAAGAGGGUCGUAAAACCUCACCUUGGCUAAUUAUUGUGGCUUUUGGUCGUAUUGUAGCAGUUUCAGGUAUGUAUACGCAGUAACUAACCCUUAUAUGCAAUUUUCUUUAAGACAUUAUUGUUUAUUGUGAUAAUAUACAUUGCAUUGAAACUAUGAGAUACUAUUGAGUACACUUUACAUGAAGAGCUGUCGACUAUGAAAUCCUUGCGCUUAGAAUAGUUUAGAGAAUGAGAGUUAAUAGAGGGCGAGAACUACCCCUUAUUUAUUUAAGAAUUAGAUUAUGCCUAAUUGGAGUUAGAAUGACUCCUUUAUAGGUGAAUUUCAUAUUCUAUUGAGUGGCUCAGUGGGUUUUGGCGCGCUGCUAUCCCAGGGCGCUCAUUAAUAGUUGAGAGUGGAAGUUAUUCCCGUCUGACAAGGUACUAUAUUAUGAUUAGCUGGCGUGACUUAACUGGAUUAUGUCCGGUUGUUUUAUUAGUCCCCUAGGUGAGGUUCAACGGGACCACCGUAAGGGGGGUAUGAGCAUGCUUGGGUCACUGGGCGCCGGAUGGCCGAUACCGCCCCUUGACCGAGGUGAUACCAUGCGGGCCUUGCAAACCCCAAUAUGGUGGCCUCUUCACUGGUUUAGUACCCCAGUGUGUUAGGUUUUUUUCUCGAAGGUAGGACCCGAGAGGGUCAGCUGGAGGGGGCAUGAGCUCAUACUUUGCCAUUGGGCGCCGGAUGGCCGAUAACGCCCUUGGCCGUGUCACUAUGCCAGGAAGUAGAGAAAAGAUCUACUGAUAGAAAACUAUUCAGUGAUAGAAAGUUUAUUCGUUGAUCGAAAGUUAUGUAAUGAUAGAAGGUUCAUUCUUUGGUAGAAAGCUUACGCGUUGAUAGAACGUUUACUCUUUGGUAGAAUAUUUACUCUUUGAUAGAACAUCUACUUAUUGAUAGAAUAGUUUAUGCUAUUGAGAAGUGUGCCUAAGUUAAGUUACCUCAAGGGUAUUACAGACUAUGAUCACACUUACCCUAAGAUAGACAAGCUCUAUAAAGUCAUGUGUUAGGUAUUCUGUUAAUGCCUUGGUCGAGUCGAACUAUGCGUGUUUUGCAAGAGUUUAUGGUUGAAAAGAGGAGCGUGAAGACCUACAUUCUACUCAAGCGCACAUGGUUCGAGUUGGAAAGCACGUAAUGAAAUUAAGAAGUAUAAGUGGCCGAUAAACGGUUACUAUCUGUGCUUGCGUUUUAUGAAAUCAUCUUAUUUUGUUUUAUGGUAUAAUGCUAUCUAGUAGUUGGCCUUAUUAUAUUUGAUGCUAAUUACUGACGUGUACGUGUUUGUGUUAUGUUGAUUGUGGAUGACUUUCUAUGAUUGUCCUGCUAUGACACAUUGGCCUUUGGUCUAAUGUUGAGCAGCAGGAGGAUCAUAGACUAGCCUAGCAGGUACUGGAGCUUCUUAUGCAUUGCAUUGCAUUUGGGGAAAGUGAUGAGGGCGAAGCAUAACCCGUGUCUUUACCGCUAUCUUUCGAUUUUUUAGCUCUUGUUAUCCUUUGUAAAUUUUGGUUGUAUAUGUUUUGUUAUGAGGCCUUGUGUCCUCCCACGUGUAUUUGUAUUUCCGCUGCGUAGUCUAUAACUCUGUAUGGUUUUAAGGAGUUAAAUCUUUUUAAAACGCAAACGUCGACACUGGAACCACGAUCCAUGCUUGGCAUGUUGAUUUGAGAAGCCGGCGACGAAUCAUUCCGCCGUGACAUAGUUUUGAUAGGCCGUUGGUGCCUUUACUUUAUUAGCUUCUAAAUAACUUUUGUUUUUCUAUAAAGACGCACAGUUUUAAGGCAGAUGCUGCCAAAAUUUUCACUCACUCACCUUUUUAAAGUUAAUAUUUAACUUUUAUAUUUUAUAUAAAUUCAAUUCUUUUUCUUUUAUGUAACACCCGAAUUUCCUCUCGUCCUUUACGGUUUUGGUUUCGUUAAGGGGUCGGAAAUUCAGGGGUGUUACAGUUUGUGGUUGAUCAAGAUAUGGAACUUUGGGACAUCAUAAACAAAAGACCUAAGGUACCAAUGAAAAAGGAUGCUCUAGGUAACGAUGUUGAAAAAUCUGAGUCUGAAUACUUACAAAGUGAUUUGAAAUCCGUGUCUAAAAACUAUAGAGCAAUGAAUCAAUUGUGUUGUGAUUUAAAUGAUACUGAUUUCAAUAGGGUUUCAUCAUGCAAAAGUGCUAAGGAAAUAUGGGAUACGUUGGUUGUGAUGUAUGAAGCAACAUGUCAAGUAAAGGAAACAAAGAUCAUCAUCCUCAUGCAUCAAUACAAAAUGUUCAAGAUGAAAAAGGAUGAGAAUAUUUAUAAAAUGUUUACUCGUUUUACAAUGAUUAAUAACAGUUUGAAUUCUCUUGGUAAAAAUUUUACUAAUGCAGAAAAAGUCCAGAAGGACUUGAGGUAUCUUCCAAGAUCUAAAUGGGGUCCAAAAGUCACCGCAAUUAAAAAAGCUAAAGACUCGAGAGUACUUUCACUUGACGAUCUUUUUGUAAAGCUCAGAACUCAUGAACUUACCCUAUAUGAUGAUGGAGAAAGUGAUGUAACACCAUCCCUGAAGAAUCUUGCACUAAAGGCAAAGAAACAUUAAGAAUCCUCAAGCGAAAAUGAGGAAAACGAUGAUUAGGAAGAUCCAUUUUCCUUAAUCACAAGAGGUCUAGAAGGAAUCAUGAAAAUGCGAAAAAGUUAUAAAAAAUUUAAAUCCAGAAAAAAGGUAAAUCUUCUAACUCUAAUUCUAAAAGUAACAAACUUGCUUGUUUUGCGUGUAGAACUACAUAGCAUCUUGUAAAGGAAUGUCCUAAAAAGAAAAAGGAAUACUAUAAGAAAAACAAAAAGAAACAAGCAAUGGUUGCUAAGUGGAGUGACUCCGAAGGGUCAGGCGAACCGGAAAGUGAAGAUGGUCAAGCUCACUUAUGUCUAAUGGCGAAUGAUGACAAAGAUGAAGAUCUAGAACAAAACUGUAAGGAGGUACUCGACUAUCUUAACUCUUGUUCUAAAGAUGAAUUAGUUAAAGUUCUCUUUAAUAUGUUUCAAAUUGAAUAAUCUUAAGAGAUGAGAAAAACAUAUUAGAAGAUAGAAUUCAUCACUAUGCCGAAGGUUGUGAAGACCUUAUAAAGAAAGAUGAAUCGCUUAUGGCUGAAAAUUUAAAAUUUGAAGAGAUUGUCAAAGUCUUGAAAGAACAGAAUAUCAGUCAAAUGAAAAAGCUCAUUGAUCUUCAGAAUAAAAACUAUGAUCUUGAACUUGAUCUAAAGACUUUGAGAUAUGAGUCUGAGAAAAGUUUACAAUCCUUAACUAAGCUAAAUGAUUCUAAAUUUAAAUUCGUAAAAAUGUUUACACGACAAAAAUGAUCUAAUGAUAAAUGUGGUAUCAGUUAUAAUAACGCUAAAGAUAACUAUAAGAAUCAAACCACAUUGGUUAAAAGUGCAUACAUGCAUAGACACAUGCCUACUUGCUCCUAUUGUUGCAAAGUAGUACAUCUUAAGUUUGCAUGUCCCUCCAAAAGUAAGGACAACUAUAUCAUCAAGAAUACCUGUCCUUAUGAGUUACGUGAGAAGAUUAAAAAACAAGGGUUCCUAAAGGGACAAGACUACCUAACAUGGUCUACCCCAAAUAUGCUCCCAAAUUUGUCACUUGGUUAGCUACGUAAGGUUGAGAAAGGUUAUUUUUUGUUUUCUAGGAAAAGAAAAAUGGAUCUUAGAUAGUGGAUGUUCAAGACAUAUGAGUGAUAAACUUUCUUUAUUUUCUGAAAUUAAAGAAAAGUGCAGUGGCUCGAUUACUUUAGGUGACAAAGGUAUAUGCAAAAUAUUAGGUGUUGGCAAAGUUGGUAGGGAUCCUUCUAAAGUUAUGGAUAAUGUUUAUUUGAUUGAAUGUCUAAAAUUUAACUUGCUAAGUGUGUCUCAAUUAUGUGAUAAAGGUAAUUAACUAAUAUUUGAUAAAGAAAAAUGUGUUGUAAAAAAUCCUAACACCGGCGAUACAUUAAUUGCCGCCCUUAGACAUGAUAAUGUUUAUGCUUUGAAUACUAACGAAAUUGCAGCUCAAAAUUUUAAGUGUUUAAAGGCUAUAACGGAUGAUCCAAAGCUAUGGCAUAAAAGGCUUGGUCACAUAAAUAUACAUACCAUGCAUGAAUUAGUAAGUAAAAUCUGGUUAAGGGACUUCCAGCCCUUGACUACAAGCACAAUCCUUCAUGUGAUGUAUGCAUUAGAGGUAAACAAGUAACAAGUUCAUUUAACCGAAGAAGAUGGAAAAUACUUCAAGAGCACGUGAACUUCUACAUAUUGAUCUUUGUGGUCCAUUGCGUGUAACGAGCAUACGAGGUAAAUCUUAUAUUCUAGUAACCGUUGAUGAUUAUUCUAGAUUUACGUGGGUUGAUUUUUUGAAGGAUAAAGAUGAUGCCUUGAAGCUGUUUUCAAGACGUUGUAAUGAAAUGCAAACUCAGUUGAAUCUUCCAAUAGUUUCGGUUAGAAGUGAUCAUGGGAGAGAGUUUGAUCAAUUAGGCUUUGAUUCUUUUUGUGAAAAAUACUGUAUAACCCAUAACUUUUCAGUUCCUAGGACACCACAACAAAAUGGUGUGGUUGAAAAGGAAAAAUCGCACUUUAGAAAAAACGGUUAGGACCAUGCUUAUAGAAAAUGGAUUAGCCAAACAAUUUUUUGGCCGAGGCAGUUAAUACAGCAAACUAUGUCUUAAAUAGGUGUCUCAUUAGACCUAUACUUAAGAAGACCCCCUAUGAGCUAUUUAAAGGUAGAAACCAAAUACAACCUCCCUUAGACCAUUUGGUUGUAAGUGUUUUAUCCAUAAUAAUGGUAACGGUAAUCUAGAUAAGUUUGAUGUUAAAAGUGACGAAGGUAUAUUUCUUGGAUACUCAUUAAAUAGUAAAGCUUAUAAAAUGCUAAAUAAACGAACAAGUAUGGUUGAGGAAAGCAUACAUGUGGUAUUUGAUGAAUCCAACAAUGGAAUAUUAAGUGAAAGUUUUAAAUAGUUAAACCUUAAUAAACAUUUUGAUGAUGUAAGUGAUGAUAAAUUAGACUCUAAUGAUCAUAAUGAAGAUAAAACGAAGAAUAUGCAAGAUCCUAUACAAAGUCUUGACCAAGUUGAAGAAAAACAAGUUAAGCGCAUUGAAGACUCACAACCUGAUCUAGCGACCUAGCCUCAAGACCUGGAAAAAGCUCCUGAACGUACUGAUUUAAAUACUCCAACUAAAGAUUCCUCGAAGGAAGUAGGAACGAUUUCUCUAAAUGAUUACACACCAUCCAUACAAAGAAGAAGGUUUAGAUUGUCAUCUCAACAUCCUCCGAAAAACACCACAAGUGAUCCAAACAAAGGUACUCAAACUCAAUCCUCUCUAAACAUUUAUGCAUUUUCUGCUUUUGUUUCUCUUGUAGAUUCAAAGGAUAUAAAAGAAGAAAUACAAAAACUAGAGUGGAUCAUUAAUAUGCAAAGUGAAUUAAAUGAAUUCGAAAGUAACAAAGUUUGGGAUCUAGUUGAAAGACCACUAGAUCGUACUAUUAUUAGAACUACAUGGGUCUUUCGCAACAAGCUCAAUGAGGAUGGAGAGAUCAUAAGGAGCAAAGCAAGGCUAGUAGCUCAUGGCUAUAAUCAAGAUGAAGGCAAUGAUUAUGAUGAAACGUUUGCACCCGUAGCAAGGUUAGAAUCUAUUCGAAUUAUGCUUGCUUUUGCUUCGUAUGUUAAUAUAAAAUUAUAUCUAAUGGAUGCUAAAUGAGCUUUCUUAAAUGGCUACUUACAAGAGGAAGUAUAAGUUAAACAACCACCUAGUUUUGAAAAUCCGAAUUUACCUAAUCUUGGGUUCAAACUAAAAAAAGCAUUUUAUUGCUUGAAACAAGCUCUAAGGGCUUGGUAGGACAAAUUUAGUUCACAUUUAUUUGAGAAUAACGUUCAAUGAGGUAAAGUUGAUAAAACGUUUUUGAUGAAGACUAAAAGAAAAGAUAUUCUUGUUGUUCAAGUAUAUGUUGAUUAUAUAUUGUUUGGAGCUACAAUGAUUCUUUGUGCAAGGAAUUUUCUGAGAUCAUGUGCAAAAAAUUCGAAAUGAGCAUGAUGGGGGGAGAUUUAACAUUUUUAUUAUUGGACUACAAAUAAAGCAAAAGAAAGAUGGCAUAUUUAUUUGUCAAGAUAAAUAUGUUAGAGAUCUUCUUAAGAAGUACAAUAUGGAUCAAUGCAAAAGUGCUAAUGUGCCUAUGAGUGCAACACUAAGUCUAGAUCAAGACAUAAAUGGUAAGAGUGUUGAUCAAACGUCUUAUAGAAGUAUGAUUGGUUCUUUAUUGUAUUUAAUAGCUAGUCGUCAGGAUAUAAUGUUUAGUGUUUGUUUAUGUGCUUGUUUCCAAGCUAACCCAAAAGAAUAUCACUUAACAGCAGUUAAGAGAAUCUUUAGAUAUUUACAUGGGACUAAAGACUUUGGUCUAUGGUACCCCAGUUCUGAAAAUUUUGCUUUGACUGGUUUUUUUGAUAUGGAUUAUGCCGAUUAUAAGGUGGAUAGAGAGAGUACUUCAGGAUCAUGUCAAUUCUUAGGAGCAUCUUUGAUUUCAUGGUAUUCUAAAAAGAAAAAUUCAAUGGCUUUAUCUACGGCAAAAGCGGAAUAUAUAGCAGCCGGUGCAUGUUGUUAUCAAAUUUUAUAGAUUGCACAAAAACUUCGAGAUUUUGGAGUUGAUCUCAAAGGUAUUCCAAUUAAGUGUGACGAUUUAAGUGCAAUUUGUAUUACUAAAAAUCCGGUACAAUAUUCACGUACAAAACACAUUGAGGUAUAUCACCAGUUCAUACGUAAUCAUGUUGAAAAAGGUCUAAGUGGAGCGUCAGUUUUACUUGUUGUCAAGACUUUGAAGACCAGUUUAGCAUAACCAGUUGGCGAAAAUUAAGAAAUGACGUUUCAAUUGUUUGAACGGCUAUGUUGGAGGCGUAACAUAUAUACAAGAGGCUUCAUUUAAGAAUUAAGAGAAUUGUAACAUAAUUUACGAUCUAGCUUUCUACUUACAUUGAGUCUUAAUAUCAAAAAGUGUUGUAAAUUUAAUUCAUCUUACUCUCUCAUUUGUAAUAAGUCUUAGAGUAAAAAGACAGUUAGAACUUUAAUCUACGCCUUAAAGCUUGGAAUACUUUUUAAAGUAUUCAUUUGAUUUCUCUUUUGUGAGAUUGGGAUUAGAACUUUUAUUAAGGGAACAUGUAAGACGUUCUUCAAGGGGAAGAACAUGGUGAGAGAAGAUAGAGAGAUUUUCUUAGUCAUCUAAGGUUCAUUAAUAAAGGGCGUUGAAUCCUAAGGGAUAGAAAAGAACCCAUAGGCAGGGAGUAGGCUAUUGAUAGCUGAACCUCGUUAACAAAUCCCUUGUUAUUAUUUAAGUUCAUUUUCUUAUUUAGUUCUUAGAUUUAUUUGACCUAAAAUAGUUCCAAAAAACUGUUUUAAAAAGUCUUCCAAGCUCUUGACCUUCCCUUUUAGAGAAAAAUUUUAAACGGGCAUAAUCUCUAUUCAUCCCCCUCUAGAGAGUAUUUGAUCUUCUAUUAACCUUCACGAAAAUUUAUGUGCUCGUUUUAGAGCACGUUUUAACCCCUAUUAUAGUGUUGAGUCUCGCUAUUUUACAUUGGUUUAAUACAUAUUCCGCUCGAUCUUACCUUGUUAUUGUCUCCGAGGUGUUUUGAGGUUAUUUUUAAGUGUUUUCGGAGAAUUCAAGGUCAAGCAGCAUGAAUUCGAGCUGAGACACCAUGAUCGAAGAUGAGAAACGCGUAUUGAAGCAUUCUCAAGUACUACAAGUCAUUUUGGAAGGCCUCACCAAGUUCGGAGACCAUUACGCAUUUAAACGAAGCAACAAAGCAUGCCUAGCGUAAGAUUCGGCCGAAUGAACACUCAAUUCAGGCGAAUGGAUGGUGUUCUUCACUUUACUCGAAUCCAAACUCUUUAGAAAUGGCGAAUGAGAUGAACUCGGGCGAGCUAAAGACCAUUCGGUGAAUGACAUAGGUGAUUCGGGCGAAUGGUUAGAGAAAUACCAAGAAUCAUGCACCAAUGCGCUGGAACUCUGAAUUGAAUCCAUUCGGGCGAAUGGUCACCUAUAUUCGGGUGAAUAGGCACUAAAAACAGCGCAGUUUUAUUUCUUCGCAAGUCGUACUUCGUGGGUUAUUUUAGGGCUGCUGUUUCUUUUGCUCCUUGGCUAUAUAUACCCUUUAUAUCUGAAUGUAAACCCUAUGCCUACUUUGAGAGCUUCUUGCCUCAACUUAGAACAUCACUUUUACUUGUUUUCCAUUUAUAUUUCUCGCCCUAGAUUUAAAGCUUGCUUUAUUGCUUUUAUUUAUCUUCAAGCAUUGUAUUUUGGAUUCCUUUUGAUCCUUCCUUCAAGUUUUUGGUUUAUGUAAGUUUUAUUCACCUUUAUUGCUUUUAUGCUUUUCAAUUCAUGGUUGAUUACCAGUGUAGCAAAUAUCCUAUAUAUGACCAUCAUUACUAGUAGGGACAUAUUGCCCCGGAUCACGUGCACCCAUCUUGGUACACACCACCACCAGGUGAUUUUUGUUAUGAUUAUGGUUUCUAGUGGAGGCGUUAGUACUUCUUUUAUUUGAUGAUGAUGAUGAUGAUGAUGAUGCUGAGGGAGAUAAUGAUGAUGGCUAGAGUCCACCUUCUCUAAAGCCGUUUUGUUGCAUUGAGGACACUGCUCAGUUCGGCUUGGGGGAGGUAUUGUGUUUAUGGUCACCUUUGGCUCUUCUUGUGUAUAUAUGCAUGUUUUCAUUCAUUUCCUUUCUGUUUUAUAGCUUUCAUAAUUUAGCUUACUAUUUUCUUAAUUUGAUUAUGUUUUCAAUCCCUUGAAUCACAUUCAUGCAUAUUUUUUAUCUUCAAUUGCUAACUUGAUUUCAUUUUGGGCCAUAUUCUUGAUUUAUGUUGAUACCUAGGCAAAUUUAGAUUAUUUCUUCUAAAUUUUUGAUUCGCAGUCCUGUGAACCUUGAGUUUUCAAAACAACAGUUGAACAUUGAUUUGGUUUGUGGCAUCGUCUUUGGGCAUUUAUGGGCAUAUUUUAAACCCCUGAGUCACGAUUGAGCCUCUUCUGCACAUAUCACUUGUCUACUUACAAGAUUGUGGAUUUGUAGCAUACUAAGCAUGGCUUGAGGACUUGGGAUUAAUGUGAAUCUAGUUGUUUCUAUUAGACUAUGCCUAUUUCUUCCUUUUGUACCUUUACCACUUAUUCUUUCAUUAUUAAUCAUCCAUCUUUACUUUCACACCUUUAAACCUUUGAGCAUACUAGUUAAGC